UCUUUCCAAAAGUUCAGAGACCCACCAAAACCUUGUGGAUUACCUCCACCAGUCUUCCUGAUUUGAGAUGUAACGUGGGGUGCACGAGUUCCUCAGAUGAGGGGUGUAGUAAGACAAGGAGCCAGCCUCAAUGGACAUAGCCCCUUCUCGAGAUCUAAACAGGAGACUAUCUAAAGCAAAGCUGAAAGUGCAUCAAGAAUUUUAAGAAGCCUAAAGAUCCCCAAGGUAACGAGAAGCAAGACCAUGAGGAGUAAUGUAGCUUGGAAUGAACAAGAUGAACAUAUCCACCUUCAAUCUAAUGCUUAAUGAGGAAAAAGGCUGUUUUAUUGGCGCCAGGGAGUCAUGA
rnacentral:lncRNA from 1 species